rnacentral:snRNA from 1 species
CCCACCAAUAGGGAACGUGA